AUGCUUAGGCUUAGGCUUAGGCUAGGCUUAGGCUCAGAUUCAGGCUUAGGCUUAGGCUUAGGCUUAGGCUUGGAAUUAGGCUU
ensembl:ncRNA Y18H1A.16 ncRNA